rnacentral:rRNA from 1 species
AAACCAGCACCUCAAGUGGUCAGGAUGAUUAUUGGGCCUAAAGCAUCCGUAGCCGGCUCUGUAAGUUUUCGGUUACAUCUGUACGCUUAACGUACAGGCUGCCGGGAAUACUGCAGAACUAGGGAGUGGGAGAGGUAGACGGUACUCGGGAGGAAGUGGUAAAAUGCUUUGAUCUCUCGAUGACCACCUGUGGCGAAGGCGGUCUACCAGAACACGUCCGACGGUGAGGGAUGAAAGCUGGGGGAGCAAACCGGAUUAGAUACCCGAGUAGUCC